GUCAGUCUGUGCAGAGAGCAAGACAUACCAGCUGCUGUGAAGGCCAAGGUCUUUGAGGGGGCCUGACACGAGGCAGUGGCAGCCCAAGAAACCAGGGCAGUGCAAUCAUAACCGACAGCAGGGAGAUGACAGCUCAUCUGAGGUGGUGCUGAGCAAAUGUUCUAGCUGCUUCCAAGAUUCAGCCAACUCUCAUCUGAUGACUAACUAUAGAAGCAAGUGCCCUCCAAGUUCUCACUGUCAGCCAAGGAGAGGGAAUGAAGCAUGAGGUGUUGAGGAUGACAUGGAUGAGAAUCGCAGAUUGAGACUUUUAAGGCAGAAUCCUCAGUCAUCUCUCCUGUGAAAUUUUCACGAUUCAAAGGGAAGUCCCUGCAUGGGCACUGCCAGCUUCGUUGCACUUCUGCCUCCAUGCUUUCUCCUGAACCUCCUCCACCUCUGAACGUACUUCAGGCUGCACGGGAAGUAUGGCUGCAGAGGUCUCAGGAGACUGACAAUUACCAGUGGAAGGUGAAGAGGAAGGAGGUACAUCUUACAUGGCCAGAGAAGGAGGAAGAGAAAGAAGGAGGAGGUGCCAUACCCUUCUAAACGACUACAUCACUGAGAACUCACUGUCAUGAGAAUAACAAGGGGAAAAUCUGCCCCCAGGAGCCAAUCACCUCCCACGAGUCCCCUCCGACAACAAUGGGGAUUACAGUUUACCAUGAGAUUUGGUUUGGGACACAGAGCUAAACCAUAUGAGUAGGUGACUAGUUAGUAGGUUUUUUUUUUUUUA